UCAGUGUCCGCUGCCGUUUUACACCCAAGGAACGCGACCAGCUAAUCAUGAUUCGAUUUUGGCCGUCGGCUUCUUCUUGAAUCCGGUCUAUCGUUUCUGGUUGGAUCCAACAGUUCUUCGUGAUUUGAUGCAUGAAUUCGUACCGGAAAG
ensembl:ncRNA CE7X_3.3 ncRNA